ACGAACGCUGGCGGCGUGCUUAACACAUGCAAGUCGAACGAGGGAAUUGAAAGCUUGCUUUUGAAACCCGAGUGGCAAACGGGUGAGUAACGCGUAGGCAACCUGCCGUUGAGAUGGGGACAACAUCCCGAAAGGGGUGCUAAUACCGAAUGUUGUGAGAGCUUCGCAUGGAGCUUUCACUAAAGAUGACCUCUCCUUGGAAGUUAUCGCUCAACGAUGGGCCUGCGUCUGAUUAGCUAGUUGGUGGGGCAACGGCCUACCAAGGCGACGAUCAGUAGCCGGUCUGAGAGGAUGAACGGCCACAUUGGAACUGAGACACGGUCCAGACUCCUACGGGAGGCAGCAGUGGGGAAUCUUCCGCAAUGGGCGAAAGCCUGACGGAGCAACGCCGCGUGAGUGAAGAAGGCCUUCGGGUCGUAAAGCUCUGUUGAAGGGGACGAAUGUACAGCUUAUCAACAACGAGCUGUAAUGACGGUACCUUUCGAGGAAGCCACGGCUAACUACGUG
rnacentral:rRNA from 1 species